GGCGGGAAGGUCGGUGGGGGGGGCGAACUCAGCCGACCGGGACCUUCCUGGGGAUCCCAUUCUGUUCGCAGAGAUGGUUCCCCUGGAGCUGCUGAUGCUUGGUCUGCGGAUGCCCCUAGUGGAGGGUUACCUUUUGACUUUGAGUGCAGUAAGUAAUCGUGACUAGGUAUGAAAGAGUCUGUUCUACCCUUGAGGCUAGGGUUGAGCUCCCCCAUCCUACUUUCACG
rnacentral:ribozyme from 14 species